AGAGUUUGAUCCUGGCUCAGAAUGAACGCUGGCGGCGUGCUUAACACAUGCAAGUCGAACGAGAAAGCAUCUUCGGAUGUGAGUAGAGUGGCGCACGGGUGAGUAACACGUGGGUAACCUGCCCCUUGAUGGAGGAUAACCAGGAGAAAUCCUGGCUAAUACUGCAUAAGUUGGUAACAAGAAAGGAUGCUUCGGCAUUCGUCGAGGAAUGGGCCCGCGGAACAUUAGCUUGAUGGUGGGGUAAUGGCCUACCAUGGCUACGAUGUUUGACUGGUCUGAGAGGAUGAUCAGUCACACUGGAACUGAGACACGGUCCAGACUCCUACGGGAGGCAGCAGUGGGGAAUAUUGCGCAAUGGGGGAAACCCUGACGCAGCAACGCCGCGUGAGUGAGGAAGGCCCUAGGGUCGUAAAGCUCUGUCAGAUGGGAAGAACUGUCAUUGGUCUAAUAGGCCUUUGAUUUGACGGUACCAUCAAAGGAAGCACCGGCUAACUUCGUGCCAGCAGCCGCGGUAAUACAAAGAGUGCAAGCGUUAUUCGGAUUUAUUGGGCGUAAAGCGCGCGCAGGCGGAUGUUUAAGUCAGAUGUGAAAUCUCGGGGCUCAACCCCGAAACUGCGUCUGAAACUAUUCAUCUAGAGUUAUGGAGGGGGAAGUGGAAUUUCGCAUGUAGGGGUAAAAUCCGUAGAGAUGCGAAGGAACACCAGAGGCGAAGGCGACUUCCUGGCCAUAUACUGACGCUGAGGCGCGAAAGCGUGGGGAGCAAACAGGAUUAGAUACCCUGGUAGUCCACGCCGUAAACGAUGUGCACUAGAUUUGGGGGGUUUGACCCCUUCCGAGUCGCAGCUAACGCAUUAAGUGCACCGCCUGGGGAGUACGGUCGCAAGACUAAAACUCAAAGGAAUUGACGGG
rnacentral:rRNA from 1 species